UUUCCGUAGGUGAACCUGCGGAAGGAUCAUUAACGAGUUAGGGUCUUCUAGGCCCGACCUUCCAACCCUUUGCUUACUGAACCAUUGUUGCCUCGGUGGGUCCGUCUUACGACCGCCGGGGGAUCGCCGCGAGGCGCCCCCUGGCCAGCGCCCACCGAUAGCCCAACCUUUAAAACCCUUUGUGAAUCGUGUCUUAUGUCUAAAUUUAUGAUUAAACAAUCAAAACCAAACUUUCAACAACGGAUCUCUUGGUUCUG
rnacentral:misc_RNA from 1 species